GGUCCUCCCUCACCCGAUCACCCGGUCCUCCCUCACCUGUUCACCCGGUCCUCCCUCACCUGAUCACCCGGUCCUCCCUCACCUCUCUGUUGACGGGAGACCCUCACGUCUCAACCGGGGACACUCACCUGUUCACCGGGGACCGUGACCCACAGACCUCGGUGACAGAUGUGCCGAUGACCCGGGUUUCCUUAUCUGCAGGCAGCUCACCUACGGUGGAGCCGGUGAUGCAGACACAAACAAACAACAGCGGUGGCGGUGGCGGUGGCGGCGGGCCUGUCAUCUGCUCUCGCUCUUAUCGGGUCAUUUAAUGAAUCCUUCAGCCGAACAAGAAGCUGGUUUCACGUCAUCACAGAGAGAGAGAGCGGGGGGGAGGAGGGACAGAAUGUCUCGACACAGACGUGUAACGACCCUUUGGCUGUGCCCAAUAAAAGCUGUGAUACAC